rnacentral:lncRNA from 9 species
AGGGAGGGAGGGCUGGCCUCACCUUCUUGCUCAUCUGAUCCUGAGUUAGGUUAUUCACUUCACCUGCAGGAGGAGGGGCCAUGGCUGAGGCGGAAGGUCGGGGUCUUUAGGGUCAACGCCCUCUCGUGGAAACUAUGGAUUCACUUUGCUGUGCCGGGAAACGAAUACAGCAUUGUAAGUCAACUAUAUUCCAGUAAGAUCAAAUUAAAAAGAAGAAAAAAGGGAACUAGCAGAAUGGGGAGGAAGCAUUUGCUUUCAUGCUUAUCAACAUUCUUACUCUCCAUGGAGAUUUAGCCAAUCAACGUUAAUUUCUCAGAUAAAUUAUAUUUCCUUUUGGGGAGGUCCUAGAAUCAAUCUCAUGAGAGUCUCCUAAAUAGUACAAGAGAAGUAAUGACUUUGGAUAGUGGUUUGCAGAAUAAAUCCGACUCCUGGAGACCUUUGGUGAGAAAUCAGGUGACUGGAUCAUUAAACACGCCUUGAUCCUAAAUAGGAUUAAUAUCCCAAUGCCAUAGGAUUUUAGAUCAUUUUAAGUGAAAGACAUCAGACAUAAUAAUGUUAAAACAUUGGGAAAACACAGUUUUGAAGAUUAGAUAAUUUACCUCUAUUUCUGCCCCAGGGCGGGGGAAUGCUGAGGAGAUCCUUAUAAAUAAAAAUAUGACGUCUGCUUUGUGGAGCUGGGAGGACACAGCUAAAGGAAGAACUUGCGACUUGGGUCACAGAAAAUCCCUUUGAACAAAAGAGAACCUUGUGCAGGACUUGAAAACUACAGAAGAGAACCAGAACAGAAGAGACCAGUGCACCCACAUUUUCCUGCCGUGAGUGAUGAAGAGGAGGAAGAAGAAGUUUUCUCAGUUAUCCAUCAGUCAGCCACAGCCUGCAUUUCCCUCCCUGCUCAGCUGCUGGAACUCAGUGACAUCCCAUCUAACCUGCUGUUUUGAGCCAAGCUUGAGCAAGUGCACUAUUUCAGGAAGUCAAGAGCCAGUGCCCACUGGUGGGUGUGGACCAUGUGUGGCUGCUGUAGACUGGGCACCUGUGCUUUAA